rnacentral:rRNA from 1 species
UACAGAGGGGGCCAGCGUUAUUCGGAAUUAUUGGGCGUAAAGGGCGCGUAGGCGCCAUGCGUGUCUUCCGUGAAAUCCCUCGGCUUAACCGAGGACGUGCGGAAGAAACUGCAAGGCUCGAGUCCGGAAGAGGGGGGCGGAAUUCCCGAGUGUAGCGGUGAAAUGCGUAGAUAUUGGGAGGAACACCAGUGGCGAAGGCGGUCCCCUGGGCCGGAACUGACGCUGAGGCGCGAAAGCGUGGGUAGCAAACGGG